UAUGAGGUUUCUCCCCUGUGUGAAUUCACUGGUGUAUGAUGAGGUCUGACUUUCGUCCAAAGGCUUUUCCACAGUCAUUACAUUUAUGAGGUUUCUCUCCUGUGUGAAUUCGCUGGUGUAUGAUGAGGUGUGACUUGUGUCCAAAGGCUUUUCCACAGUCAUUACAUUUAUGAGGUUUCUCUCCUGUGUGAAUUUGCUGAUGUUUCCUAAGGCCUGACUUGUGUCCAAAGGCUUUUCCACAGUCAUAACAUUUAUGAGGUUUCUCCCCUGUGUGAAUUCGCUGGUGUAUGAGGAGGGCUGACUUAUAUCCAAACGCUUUUCCACAGUCAUUACAUUUAUGAGGUUUCUCCUCUGUGAGAAUUCGCUGGUGUAUGAUGAGGCUUGACUUUCGUCCAAAGGCUUUUCCACAGUCAUUACAUUCAUAAGGUUUCUCCCCUGUGUGAAUUCGCUGGUGUAUGAUGAGGUGUGACUUUUGUCCAAAGGCUUUUCCACAGUCAUUACAUUUAUGAGGUUUCUCCCCUGUGUGAAUUCGCUGGUGUAUGAGGAGGGCUGACUUGUAUCCAAAUGCUUUUCCACAGUCAUUACAUUUAUGAGGUUUCUCCC